UUUUAUGAGAGUUUGAUCCUGGCUCAGGACGAACGCUGGCGGCGUGCCUAAUACAUGCAAGUCGAACGCUUCUUUUUCCACCGGAGCUUGCUCCACCGGAAAAAGAGGAGUGGCGAACGGGUGAGUAACACGUGGGUAACCUGCCCAUCAGAAGGGGAUAACACUUGGAAACAGGUGCUAAUACCGUAUAACAAUCAAAACCGCAUGGUUUUGAUUUGAAAGGCGCUUUCGGGUGUCGCUGAUGGAUGGACCCGCGGUGCAUUAGCUAGUUGGUGAGGUAACGGCUCACCAAGGCCACGAUGCAUAGCCGACCUGAGAGGGUGAUCGGCCACAUUGGGACUGAGACACGGCCCAAACUCCUACGGGAGGCAGCAGUAGGGAAUCUUCGGCAAUGGACGAAAGUCUGACCGAGCAACGCCGCGUGAGUGAAGAAGGUUUUCGGAUCGUAAAACUCUGUUGUUAGAGAAGAACAAGGAUGAGAGUAACUGUUCAUCCCUUGACGGUAUCUAACCAGAAAGCCACGGCUAACUACGUGCCAGCAGCCGCGGUAAUACGUAGGUGGCAAGCGUUGUCCGGAUUUAUUGGGCGUAAAGCGAGCGCAGGCGGUUUCUUAAGUCUGAUGUGAAAGCCCCCGGCUCAACCGGGGAGGGUCAUUGGAAACUGGGAGACUUGAGUGCAGAAGAGGAGAGUGGAAUUCCAUGUGUAGCGGUGAAAUGCGUAGAUAUAUGGAGGAACACCAGUGGCGAAGGCGGCUCUCUGGUCUGUAACUGACGCUGAGGCUCGAAAGCGUGGGGAGCAAACAGGAUUAGAUACCCUGGUAGUCCACGCCGUAAACGAUGAGUGCUAAGUGUUGGAGGGUUUCCGCCCUUCAGUGCUGCAGCUAACGCAUUAAGCACUCCGCCUGGGGAGUACGACCGCAAGGUUGAAACUCAAAGGAAUUGACGGGGGC
rnacentral:rRNA from 1 species